rnacentral:rRNA from 1 species
UACGUAGGGUGCAGGCGUUAAUCGGAAUUACUGGGCGUAAAGCGUGCGCAGGCGGUUUCUUAAGUCAGAUGUGAAAGCCCCGGGCUUAACCUGGGAACUGCGUUUGAAACUGGGAGACUUGAGUGUGGCAGAGGGGGGUGGAAUUCCGACGUGUAGCAGUGAAAUGCGUAGAUAUGAUGGAGGAACACCGAUGGCGAAGGCAGCCCCCUGGGUUAACACUGACGCUCAUGCACGAAGCGUGGGGAGCAAACAGG